GCCUGGAUAGCUCAGUUGGCUAGAGCAUGGUGCUGAUAACACCAAGGUUGCAGGUUCUAUUCCUGUGGGUCAGCUGCA